rnacentral:rRNA from 1 species
UACGAAGGGGGCGAGCGUUGUUCGGAAUUACUGGGCGUAAAGCGUGCGCAGGCGGUUGUGCAAGACAGGUGUGAAAUCCCCUGGCUUAACCUGGGAACUGCACUUGUGACUGCACGGCUGGAGUGCGGCAGAGGGGGAUGGAAUUCCGCGUGUAGCAGUGAAAUGCGUAGAUAUGCGGAGGAACACCGAUGGCGAAGGCAAUCCCCUGGGCCUGCACUGACGCUCAUGCACGAAAGCGUGGGGAGCAAACAGG